UGGGAUGUAGGUGAGUGGUAGAGUGCUUGCUAACAUGCAUGAGGCCCUGGGUUUAAUCCCCAGCAUCGCAA
rnacentral:tRNA from 1 species